rnacentral:rRNA from 1 species
UGGGGAAUAUUGCACAAUGGGGGAAACCCUGAUGCAGCAACGCCGCGUGAGUGAUGAAGGCCUUCGGGUUGUAAAGCCCUGUCUUUGGGGACGAUUAUGACGGUACCCAAGGAGGAAGCCACGGCUAACUACGUGCCAGCAGCCGCGGUAAUACGUAGGUGGCAAGCGUUGUCCGGAUUUACUGGGCGUAAAGGAUGCGUAGGCGGAUAUUUAAGUGAGAUGUGAAAUACCCGGGCUCAACUUGGGUGCUGCAUUUCAAACUGGAUAUCUAGAUGCAGGAGAGGAAAGUGGAAUUCCUAGUGUAGCGGUGAAAUGCGUAGAGAUUAGGAAGAACAUCAGUGGCGAAGGCGACUUUCUGGACUGUAACUGACGCUGAGGCAUGAAAGCGUGGGGAGCAAACAGGAUUAGAUACCCUGGCAGUCCACGCCGUAAACGAUGAAUACUAGGUGUGGGAGGGUCAACCUUCCGUGCCGCAGUUAACACAAUAAGUAUUCCGCCUGGGGAGUACGUCGCAAGAUU